UGUUUUGAAAUUAUGGGCCCUAAGGCCAAAAUUGGGCUGGUUUCUUGUACACUUCCACGUUCGAGGCGCGCGGCGAGCCGGGUUCUCACCAAUUCGUCUUCUUCCACAAACUCCAAAACCCUAGCGCCGCCGCCGCCAUGUCCUCGUCUCCGUCCCCGGCGAACCGCCGUCCCCGGGGCCCGCUUGCGCUGGGGCUGGAGUCCUCGGCGAACAAGAUCGGCAUCGGCGUGGUCUCCCUCUCGGGUGACAUCCUCUCCAACCCGCGCCACACCUACGUGACACCGCCGGGUCAUGGAUUCCUUCCCCGGGAGACCGCGCAGCACCACCUCGCGCACCUCCUCCCUCUCCUCCGCGCCGCGCUCGCUGAGUCCGGUGUGGCCCCCGCUGACCUCGCAUGCGUCUGCUACACUAAAGGCCCCGGCAUGGGCGGCCCUCUCCAGGUCGCCGCCGCAGCCGCCCGCGCGCUCUCCCUGUUAUGGAGGAAGCCUCUCGUGGCGGUCAACCACUGCGUUGCGCACAUCGAGAUGGGCCGCGCGGUCACUGGGGCCGUGGACCCCGUUGUACUCUACGUCUCCGGCGGAAACACGCAGGUUAUCGCCUACAGCGAGGGGAGGUACAGGAUCUUCGGGGAAACGAUUGAUAUUGCCGUCGGGAACUGCCUUGACCGAUUCGCCAGGGUCCUAGAGCUCUCCAAUGACCCUAGCCCCGGGUAUAACAUCGAGCAGCUUGCAAAGAAGGGAGAAAAAUUCAUUGAUGUCCCUUAUGUUGUGAAGGGUAUGGAUGUGUCAUUCAGUGGCAUAUUGAGCUUUAUUGAAGCUGCGGCGAUUGAAAAGCUUAAAAAUAAUGAGUGCACACCUGCGGACCUAUGCUACUCAUUGCAGGAAACUAUCUUUGCCAUGCUUGUCGAAAUUACUGAACGUGCCAUGGCACACUGUGAUUCAAAGGACGUUCUUAUUGUUGGUGGCGUCGGUUGCAACGAACGUUUACAGGAGAUGAUGAAGAUUAUGUGCUCAGAAAGAGGGGGUAGGCUGUUUGCAACUGAUGACCGCUAUUGUAUAGACAAUGGGGCAAUGAUUGCAUAUACUGGUUUACUGGCGUAUGCACAUGGCAUGACCACUCCCCUUGAGGAGUCGACAUUUACACAAAGAUUCCGAACUGAUGAAGUUCAUGCAAUUUGGAGAGAGAAGGAGAUGCCGGUGCUAAAUAAUACCCAUUCAGAUGCAAUUGCUGAAGUUUCUAAAGAUGAAGCCUCCAUGGCAACACCAAUCGUUAUAGAUUACUGAGAGUACAUGAGCUUCAUUAUCAAACAAAGAUGACCGAGAAGGAAAGACUCCACAAUGACUUCAGAUGUUACAACUUCCAGUAUUGGAAGGGUUCAUUAUUUUUUGUCCUCGCUUACCAAAGAAAAUGGCCAAAUACUUAGACGAAGGAAGGACAUCAAGGACACCAAAGAUACCUAUUGAGAUUCCAAUAAGAAACCAAAACAGGGCAACACAGUUAAAUUGAUGAAGCCUUCUCCCAUGUCCUCCUAUGAAGAGGAAAAGAUAUAAGGGAAGAAGGUUUCGUAAGACAUCAAAGAUAUAUGAAGCGAAGUAUAUGAAGAAACAAGUUAUGAGGCACAUUCAUUACCCCUUACUACUUUUCUCACAGUCACAAACUAUCAUAGUGAUACAUUCAAGUUAUAAGAACAAUAUUCGAAGAUGGAUGUACCCUUGCAACUUUGGAUGUUGAACGUUCUGGAUGUGUGUAAAUGCGUGAGCAAUACAAAGGUAGUCCUCUCUCCCCUCAACAUGGGCACUGUUUCUCUAUUUAUAGAAAUAAGGUGGCAUACAACUUCAUAUGAAAUUAUGUUUGUGCCCUUAAACUCAAUGGUGACAUUGUUAUAUUUUCCUCCGCAAAACUUGUUGUGUAAGUCUCCUCAACCCUUCUUUGCUCCUGUGACACCGAGGACGCCAUUCGGUCCUUCUAGAAUGCUUCGUCCAAGCUCUAGUGACAAAGAUGUUAUUCCCUCCUUGGUGACGAAGUUGUUACUUCCUUCUUUAGGUCACGAAGAUCACAUAGACAAAGUUUACAUAGUUUACCAUGAAACAGACUUGGAAAGAAAUAGAUUUCAUCAGUUUGAGCACCUUCGGCAAAGGCACACCACAACAUCACCUUAGCACGCAAGUUAGACCUACAAUAGGGCGCGUUUGGUUCUCUUCUCAGGAGAUGCAGCUGCAUCUGUGCGUGCAAAAAACAGCGUUCGUUUGGUUGGCCGUAUACAUCGAGACAGGCCAGCACGAGACUUAAAGCAGUUCGGGCCUGGCUCGCAUGAAACGCCUCGCGCGGGCGUUCGUGCGCGUGCAGGGCUGAGCGCGCAGGCGCUUAAGCGGCUGUUAAUUCGUGCACGCAAAUCGAGACACUUUUUUGUUUGUUUUCCGAUUAUAUCUUUCAAUUAAAAGAUUUAAUUACCGAACCGUUUUCAGAUCUGUGUUCUACACAUUUUUGCGAACAAAACAAGACCAGUCAUGCUAUAUAUUUCAAACAAAAAAAAUACAUAAUUAAGAUUAACAUAUAAUUAGUGUCUAUUAAUACAUUUUUUAUUUAUUUAAUAAUUUUUUAACUCAAGCAACAAGUAUUCAUGCAACCAACCAAACAACAUCUCUCGUGAACCAGACUAAACACAUGCAGACAACCAAACACACUCUACCGUAUACACUCAGCCAGGCCAGUUGUAGCCUGGCUGAGCUAGUGCGAGCCAGGCUCGCCUGUGAAGCGAACCAAACGCCCCCUAUAUGUCUAGUUUAAGGAUUUAAAUUCACAGGUAGCACACCACAUGCACAAUACCCUCAACACACUCAUACUCUAGAGCGUAAGCUAGACCAAUAACCUAUAUUACUCUAGUAUGUAAGCGAGAUGUACAAUCGAUAUAUAGGUCUAAAGAUAUACAAUUGAGAGAAAUUGCAGUUGUGGCACAAUAUUAUGACAACUUAUAGGGUGCUCAUACUCUAUUGCACAAGCUUCACCAAUAACUUAUAUUACAUUAGUACGCAAGGUAGACCUACUACCUAUAUCUAGGAUUAAGAAUCUAAAUUCGCGCACUAAAGCACGCCACAUGCACCCCAACACACUCAUACACUAGUGCAUAAGUUAGACCUACAAUCUUUAUCAUCCUAGUGUGCAAAGUUGAGCUAAAAUCUAUAUCGAGGUCUAAGGAUAUACCAUUGAGAGAAAUAAAAGUCAUGUCACAUGCGUGUAGGGAUGGCAAUUUUACCCGCAAGUUCGGAUAUCCGCCGAAUAUCCGACCCGUCGGUUUCGAUUUCGGGUACAAUAUUUCACCCGCGUGUCUUACCCGUAUCCGACCCGAGGUAACAUCGGGUCGGGUUCGGAUACUGUACUUUACUCGCGGCCCCCCGCGGAUAUCCAAAAAUAUGCAAAUAGGAGCCAACUGUGGCCCAACUGCAGGCCCAACUUCAACUAGCCCAGCCCGCACAGCCGCACUCCGCCUCUAACCCUAGGCCAUCGGCCACACCUGUGACCUGCCCACCCAGGCACCCACCACCGUCAGCCUAUAGGAGCCACCAGCCUGCAUUGACUUCUCGAGUCCUCGACCAGUCGAUCGAGCAUAUCCUAGGCAGGCCACGCCACGCCGCCAUCGGUGUCUGGCUGCCAGCCACCGCCACCCGUAGGUCGCAGCGCCGCAGCACGGGCACAGCCGCACGGCUCCACGGCCCACGGCAGUAGCCCGCAGCAGCCAGACAACCAAACACAUUGGAGGAGCCCCUGCCGCCCGGCCACCGCCAGCCAAGCACAUCGCCGUGAAGCCGCUCUCCAGCGCCGUGUUCGUCGGUAUGUCCCUUCUCCUUAGUCCCUCACAUGUAUAUUUUCCAGUUGACGUCUCACUGACAAUGGUCUCAAAUAGGUGGUUCUCAAGUCCAUCCAUGGCACCUACAAGUGGAUCCGGCUCCAGGAGACAAGCUAAUUGUUCACUGUUGUCUUCACGUGGUGCUGCAACGGGGAGGGGGAGGGUGACCUCAAAUCGGUCAACUAUCAGUCGUGUUGGCGAUGCUGCUGGUACACCUACACCUACGCCGAGUGCAGACCCAUCAAGUGCCAGCGAUGCUACUGCUAGUGGCACACCAUCAUCAAGUACCAAUGCUCCACCUGCAAGAGCAACACCACAAUCAGGUAUAGAUUAUGUCAUUGUGGAAGAUGAUGAUACUGUUAAUGUUGGGACGAAGAGGAAGAUGAAAUCUAAUGUUUGGCUAGAGUUUGAACAAGUAACUGUUGGUGGUAAAUUAAAAGCUCAAUAUAAUUGGUGUAAAAAGCAAUUAGUUGGAGAUAGUAAAGCUGGUACAACUCAUUUGCGUAGUCAUCUUGGAAGUUGUCAAUCAAGGCAAGUUAGAAAAGGAUUAAAGCAAGCAACCUUGAAGUUGUUAAAGAUGAGCAUGGAGCAAUAAUAGUUGAUAAGUAUGUUUUUGAUCAACAAGUUGCUAGGAAAGAACUCGCAAUAAUGAUGUGUCCACGAGUAUCCACUUUCAAUGGUUGACCAUGUUGGUUUUAGGAGAUUUUGUGCAGCGUUGCAGCCUCUUUUCAAAACAAUGUUUAGGAACACUAUUAAAAAGGACAUCUUAGAUAUGUAUUAGGUGCAGAGGAGUUCUAUGAUCAAUUUCUUCCAAAAGUGUCAAUCUCGGAUUGUUGUAACUACUGAUAUGUGGACAACAAAUCAUCAGAAAAAGGAUAUAUGUCGGUUACAGUACAUUUCAUCGAUGAUGAAUGGAAGUUGAAAUCAUUUCUUUUGAGGUUCAUAUAUGUGCCCGCUCCACAUAUAGGAGAAAUUAUAAGUGAUGUUCUUUAUGAAGUCUUGCAAGAUUGGCAAAUUGAGAAGAAAGUCUCGACAAUGACUCUUCACAACUGCACCACUAAUGAUAAUUUGAUGUGUUGCAUGCAAGAUAAGUUACCCCUUUCCUCUCUCAUGCUAGAUGACAAAUUGUUACAAAUGCGUUGUGCUGCACACAUCAUAAAUCUUAUAGUCAAAGAUGGAAUGAGUGUUAUGGAUGAGGGUAUUGAAAGGGUGCGUGAUAGUGUUGGAUUUUGGUGUGCCACGCCAAAAAGACAUGAGUGUUUUGAACGCACAACACAAAUGAAUGUUAAAUAUGAGAGAAGGAUAACUCUCGAUUGUAAGACUAGAUGGAAUUCAACCUACAUUAUGCUUAGCACCGCACUUGAUUAUCAAGUAGUGUUUGAUCGCCUAGCAAGUAAAGAAAAGCUUUGUGCUCCUUUUAACCCAACCAUAGAGGAUUGGGAAUUUGCUAAAAAGCUUUGUGGUAGAUGCAACUGAGCUAUUAUCAGGAACCAAUUAUGUGACAACAAAUUUGUUUUUCCCGAAAAUAUGUGGAAUUUAUUUGGCUAUUGAAAAAUGGAGAACUAGUGUUAUCCCAAAUGUAGAACAAAUGUCUUCCUUGAUGAAAGACAAUUCAAAAAGUAAUGGUCAGAUGUGUGUGGCCUUAUGGUAUUAGCUACUGUUUUGGAUCCUAGGUUUAAAUUGAAAUUCAUGAAAGCUUUCUUUACCACCAUUUAUGGGGAAGAAAGUCCAAUCACAAGUAGUGAGUUGUCUAGGGUUCAGAGUUUGUUGUAUGAGCUUGUAUUGGAGUACCAAGAUCCUAUGGAGGGUGUGGUAACAACUGAUGGUGUAGGUGCAAGUACUAAGAAUGUUGCCGUUAAUGAAGGUGAUGACCUUAUGCUUGGCAUAUUUGAUAAGUUCAUGUCAGAGGAACCGGAAACAUCUUCAACCUAUAUGCGCACUGAGUUAGAUUUGUAUUUGGAAGAGCCAAUACUUCCAAGAACUCAAGAGCUUGACAUUAUUUCUUGGUGGCAACACGCGGGAAUCAAAUACCCAACUCUUAGAAAAAUCGCUCGGGAUAUCAUGGCAAUUCCCGUUACAAUAGUGGCAUCAGAAUCUGUUUUUAGUACGGAGGGAGGGUAAUUAGCCCACAUCGAAGUAGACUUGCUCCAAAAACAGUUGAAGACUUGAUGUGUAUGUAAGCUUGGUCUCGUGCAGACAUGUUAGGUGAUUAAUCUUGUUUUAUAAAUGCACUAACAACUUGUUUGGAGGAUGAAGAGGAACAAAUGGUAAUAGUGGUUUUGUUAGCAAUUAUUUUCUUUGCUUUGAUUGACCGAAUACUUAUAUUUACUUGUACAUUUCACUAUUUUUUAGGAUGAACCAAAUUGUUGAUAUGUUGAAUGCUCUAUAGGUUGACGACUUGAUGUUCAACAAAGUGUUGGCUGUGCAGCCUGUGCUGUUGUUACUUGUCAAGCUGUCCAAGAGACCAAGACUCCAAGUGCUGUGUGGUUGUCCAAACUCCAAGACCAAGAGUCCAAGAAACGAAGACUCCAAGAUCCUAUGUGCCUGUGUUGGCGUCUUGGCCAAGACGCUAUUUCAUUCCUUACUGUUUUUGUUCUUUGCUGUCCAACAUUCCUAGAGACUAAGAUCAUGUGUCCCUAGUCCCUUGCUGUUUUGUUGAAUACUUUGAAGUUUGGUUAAAGUGUAGCUUCAAGUGUGGUUGUGUUACUACUAUUAUUUCUAUAUGAUAUAUAGAAAUAUAUUGUUGGAACACUUGUUUCAUCAAACA